GACAGAGGGGUGCAAACGUUGCUCGGAAUCACUGGGCGUAAAGGGCGUGUAGGCGGGAAGGAAAGUCAGAUGUGAAAUCCCCAGGCUCAACCUGGGAACUGCAUUUGAAACUCCCUUUCUUGAGUACCGGAGAGGAAAGUGGAAUUCCUGGUGUAGAGGUGAAAUUCGUAGAUAUCAGGAGGAACACCGAUGGCGAAGGCAGGUCUCUGGGCCGAUACUGACGCUGAGGAGCGAAAGCGUGGGGAGCGAACAGG
rnacentral:rRNA from 1 species